rnacentral:rRNA from 1 species
UGGCGGACGUGCUUCAUACAUGCAAGUCGAACGAGAAUCUGACUUCGGUCAGAGGAAAGUGGCGGACGGGUGAGUAAUAUGUAGGAAAUCUGCCUUUAGGAGGGGGACAACAGAGGGAAACUUCUGCUAAUACCCCAUAUGAGCUAAGUUGAAAUACUUAUCUUGAAAACUCCGGUGCCUAAAGAUGAGCCUGCAUCUGAUUAGCUUGUUGGUGGUGGUAAAUGGGACUACCAAGGCGACGAUCAGUAGCUGGUUUGAGAGGAUGAUCAGCCACAAUGGGACUGAGACACGGGCCCAUACUCCUACGGGAGGCAGCAGUAGGGAAUUUUGCGCAAUGGGCGAAGGCCUGACGCAGCAAACGCCGCGUGAACGAUUAAGCCCUUCGGGGUGUAAAGUUCUGUCAGUGGGGACGAAACUUGACGGUACCCACAGAGGAAGCACCGGCUAACUCCGUG